rnacentral:rRNA from 1 species
AGACGUCUACUAUUAGACGUACCCGGGUAGUCCAGCCGUAAACUAUGCUCGCUAGGUGUCAGGCAUGGCGCGACCGUGUCUGGUGCCGCAGGGAAGCCGUGAAGCGAGCCACCUGGGAAGUACGGCCGCAAGGCUGAAACUUAAAGGAAUUGGCGGGGGAGCACAACAACGGGUGGAGCCUGCGGUUUAAUUGGACUCAACGCCGGACAACUCACCGGGAACGACAGCAAUAUGUAGGCCAGGCUGAAGACCUUGCCUGAAUCGCUG